GCCCAAUCGUUCUCUCUCCCCAUCCCAGACCCAAAUUCUUCCACACUCAAAUUCACAAAACCUGUCGUGUGGAGUUUGGUAACGAAUUAUAUUUAGGUCCAGAGGAACCCAAUCGACUGAUUUUAGUCUGAAGUGAAAAAGGGAUAAUUAGGGGUUUCUGAAGUGAAAGAGGGAUAAUUAGGGGUUUCGAAAAAUUCUUAUAUUCGAUCAUCAUCUUCUUCUUUGGCUGCAAUCAGUGCAUGUUCUGCAUCUCCUUCAUUUUCGUGGGUUCACUUAAGAUCCGUUCUUUUUUUUUUGUUGCUCUCCUGCCUACUCUUCAUCUACUUCCAUACCAGUUUUCAGAUCGGUUGCAAGUGUGUAUGACCAAGAUGCACAUUAUGGACGCAAAUUUGGUGUUCCCAGUGCCCACGUCUCAUGUGAAUUAUCACAUCUCUGCAUGGAACACAUUUACCUAAGAGAUUCGUGCAUUUUUUCCACAAAAUUAUCGCUUGCAAGUAAUGGCAAUGGCAAGGAGACGUCAAAGAUAGCUUAUCUAGAAAUAAUUUUAACUUUUGUUGAUGUUGAUUCCUUGGAAGAGGUAUUGGUCAUCCACCAGCCAGUAAUUGUAUUUGUGUUAUAUGGAUACGUGAUGUGAUACGUGUUAGGAAGAGGAAAAUGAUUGUGGCUCAGAAAAUUCAAAGUUUCCUAUGGGUAUGGAAGAGCUAUGAAGCACUCUUGGAGGAAAACUGGGGCAUGAUGCCUGGAAAUGAAAUCCUGCCACUGCAACGACAAGGACCCGAAGUCGUCAUUGAAAAUAGUGGAUUCGAAUUAACAAAACCCGAUGAGAAUGAUACCAACAUGUCUGAUCACGGACUGAAUGCAGGAAGUGGACCGAUGUAACUGUCAUAUCAAAUUAAUGAACAUCUCCCCGCUACAGUUCUUGCAACUACAGUGUAAGUCUUACAGUAGCAGAAAAAUCAAGAAAUGUAAUUUUCCCCAACUCUAAGGAUAUAACAGAGUCGGGAGAAGAAGACAAGGUACAUGACCUGCGAGAGAGAUGACCUAUGGAAAGAUGAUGGUUUGUGUAUCAGGACAUCUAUGGAGGAUAUGAGGGUACAAAAUUUUGUAAGUAUCGUAUUCUGUUGGCUCAAGCAAUAAGCCAUCUAAUUUAUGUUUCUUACCCGGGUUCCAUGAACCAUCAGUUGCGAUCCAAGUAACAUGUGUAUAUCGCAUUUGGUACGUAAUAAAAUAUGAGGUUUCAA